UACGUAGGGUGCAAGCGUUAAUCGGAAUUACUGGGCGUAAAGCGUGCGCAGGCGGCUUUGCAAGACAGAUGUGAAAUCCCCGGGCUCAACCUGGGAACUGCAUUUGUGACUGCAUGGCUAGAGUGCGGCAGAGGGGGAUGGAAUUCCGCGUGUAGCAGUGAAAUGCGUAGAUAUGCGGAGGAACACCGAUGGCGAAGGCAAUCCCCUGGGCCUGCA
rnacentral:rRNA from 1 species